AAUGAAGACGGCGCUCUUCUGUGCUGGUUACUGCUGUGUCUCCUAGAACAGCACCUGGCCCCUUAACUAGGCACUCAGCACACUGCUGAAUGAUGUAAAACCUACCCAUCCAUGGUAAGCGUGUCUUUUUCCUUUGCUGAGCAUCUGCUGGCUUUAGAGGGACCUGAGUUUUGGUGGCCAAGGAAGAGCUCAGCUGUAUUUGAAAGGCUGCCUGUUGACAUUCUCCGGGAGCCGGGGGCCAAGCUCCACAGCACCAACCAACCUCGUCCUGAGACCUUUCACCGGCACCUUCCGUCAAUCUCAGAGUUUUCUGGGCUCGUCAACAUUUGUUGAAGCAUCAUCCUUGCCUAUUUGCAGGUCAGCUUUAUGCCCUGCCCCCAGCCUUUUAAUGCAGGUAAACUCUGUUUGCAUAACAUCAUCGUCUGUUAAGAACAGGCUCUGGAGUCAGGCCACUCGAGUCCAGAUGCCUUCUGCCUUGCUUACUGGUUAAGUGUGCUCAGUCACUCAGUUGUGUCCAACUCUGCAACCCCACGGAAUGUAGCCAGCGUAUUAUAAAGCAGAGACAUGACUUUGCCGACAAAAGUCCAUCUUGUCAAAGCUAUGGUUUUUCCAGUAGUCAUGUAUGGAUGUAAGAGUUGGACCGUAAAACUGACAGCUAAAGAAUUGAUGCUUUUCAACUGUGGUGUUGGAGAAGACUCUAGAGAGUCCCUUGGACUGCAAGGAGAUCCAACCAGUCCCUCCUAAAGGAAAUCAGUCCUGAAUAUUCAUUGGAAGGACUGAUGCUGAAGCUGAAGCUCCAAUACUUUGGCCACCUGAUGUGAAGAACUGACUCAUUGGAAAAGACCCUGAUGCUGGGAAAGAUUGAAGGUGGGAGGAGAAGCGGAUGACAGAGGAUGAGAUGGUUGGAUGGUACCACUGACUCGAUGGACAUGAGUUUGAGCAAGUGCCAGGAGUUGCUGAUGGACAGGGAAGCCUGGUGUGCUUCAGUCCAUGGGGUUGCAGAGUCAGACAUGACUGAGCAACUGAACUGAACUGAGAGUUGAACUCCCAUGCAACAGCCAGCAUCAACUUCUAGACAUGUGAGUGUGCAUCUUGGAAGCCCACCCCAGUCAUGCCUCCAGAUGGCUCCAGCCCCAGAAGAACCACACAGCUGAGCCUAGCCAAAUGCAAGAAUCACGAGAGAACUACGGUUUGGGGUGAUUUUCCGUGCAGCAAUAGAUAACCCAACUACUGACUUGUACAAGCAGAUGGAGUAAGAGGAAGUGAGAUGAAGCUGGAGAAGUCAUCAGGAGUAGAUUAUGUGGAGCCUGAUCAUCUGCCUGCUGUGUGGAAAACAGCCUGGAGGGGGAGCCAGAGAGCAUCACAUGUGGAGAGAGCAAGGACUCAGGUACCAGAUACAUUAAUCCCAGUUCUCUACUUAUCUGCUGUGUUACCUCGGGAAAGUCACCUAACUUCUCUGGACUUCAGUUUUCCUCUGCUAUCAAACAGAGGCAAUACAAAGAAUGAUCAUAGUAAUUAAUUCUCCUUGUUUACUGAACAGUGCCUGGCACAUAGCAGGCACUCAAUCAAUAUUUGUUGAAUGAAUGAAUUUAGUGGGCUAGAAUUGAGGAGGUACAAAGAAGAAAUGAUCUUAUUUUUCUCCUCCUCCUGAAAAUUUCUUCUGUCAAAGGUGGUUUCCCUCUCUUGACUCCUGAUGAUAAUCAGGCAGAUCCAUGACUUCUUGGUCCCUUUGGGGCAAAAUAACAGUUUCAUUUUGGUAAUUAAAACUCACUUCCAGUCAUUAGAAAGUCCACUUUGACCCAGUGAAAUAAAAUAUUUUGAUUUCUCAUC
ensembl:lncRNA